UAUCUCUGUAGAGUCUGCAUAUCAAUAAGCGGAGGAAAAGAAACUAACUAGGAUUCCCUUAGUAACGGCGAGUGAAGCGGGAAGAGCUCAAAUUUGAAAUCUUCAAGGUUCUACCUUGACGAAUUGUAGUUUAAAGAAGUGUUUUCUGUUGGAGUUUUGGUAAAAGUUCUUUGGAAUAGGACAUCAUAGAGGGUGAGAAUCCCGUAUUUGACCAUUAUUUCCAACUUUGUGAUACACUUUCAAAGAGUCGGAUUGUUUGGGAAUGCAGUCCAAAAUGGGUGGUAAAUUUCAUCUAAAGCUAAAUAUUAGCGAGAGACCGAUAGCGAACAAGUACCGUGAGGGAAAGAUGAAAAGAACUUUGAAAAGAGAGUUAAACAGUACGUGAAAUUGUCAAAAGGGAAGCGUUUGACACCAGUGUUGUUUUCCGAAAAUCAAUUAAAAUGAAGGUUUAUUUUUGAGGAGUUAUGACUUCAUCAGCUUUCUGCACUUUCUUUAUGUACUUUCUUAAUGCACUUUUCGUUAACAAGUCAACAUCAAUUUCUUUUGUUGUAAAAGGGUAUGAGGAAGGUGGCUUUCUUUCGGAGAAGGUGUUUAUAGCCUUGUGCCUCUGCAAUCGGAGAGAUUGAGGUCUGCAGCGUAGAUCCUUCGGGGUUAGAUACAUUUGUGCUAAGUUAUAGCUUUCAUAGACAACUUGUUGACUAUGAUUUAGUCAUUGUAGCUUACUCGCUUACUGCUAUUUUACCUACGCUUAGGAUGUUGAGUAGCGACAUACGCAC
rnacentral:rRNA from 1 species